rnacentral:rRNA from 1 species
ACGGGAGGCAGCAGCUAAGAAUAUUCCGCAAUGGAGGAAACUCUGACGGAGCGACGCCGCGUGGGCGAUGAAGGCCGGAAGGUUGUAAAGCCCUUUUAUGACAGAGGAAUAAGGAGGAGAGGGAAUGCUUCUCCGGUGACUGUAGGUCAUGAAUAAGCACCGGCUAAUUACGUGCCAGCAGCCGCGGUAACACGUAAGGUGCAAGCGUUGUUCGGAAUCAUUGGGCGUAAAGGGCAUGUAGGCGGUCAGCCAAGCUUUGUGUGAAAUCCCGCAGCUCAACUGCGGAACUGCACGGAGAACUGACAGACUAGAAUCACUGAAGGGGAGCCGGAAUUCCAGGUGUAGGGGUGAAAUCUGUAGAUAUCUGGAAGAACACCAAUGGCGAAGGCAGGCUUCUGGCAGAUGAUUGACGCUGAGGUGCGAAGGUGCGGGGAGCAAACAGGAUUAGAUACCCUGGUA